UUAGAGAGUUUGAUCCUGGCUCAGGGUGAACGCUGGCGGCGCGCUUAAUGCAUGCAAGUCGCGCGUGUCCGUGGCUUCGGCCACAUAUGGAAAAGCGGCAGACGGCUGAGUAACGCGUGAGUAACCUGCCCUCUGGUGGGGUAUAGCCACGAGAAAUCGUGAUUAAUCCCGCAUAAGAUCUCUUUACCUUGGUAUUGAGAUGAAAGCCUUCGGGCGCCGGAGGAGGGGCUCGCGUCCUAUCAGGUUGUUGGUGAGGUAAUGGCUCACCAAGCCUAUGACGGGUAGCUGGUCUGAGAGGACGACCAGCCAGAGGGGGACUGAGACACGGCCCCCACUCCUACGGGAGGCAGCAGCAGGGAAUC
rnacentral:rRNA from 1 species